CCUACGGGAGGCAGCAGUGAGGAAUAUUGGUCAAUGGGCGAGAGCCUGAACCAGCCAAGUCGCGUGAAGGAUGACGGCCCUACGGGUUGUAAACUUCUUUUGUCAGGGAGCAAUUGAGUCCACGUGUGGGCUUAGCGAGAGUACCGGAAGAAAAAGCAUCGGCUAACUCCGUGACAGCAGCCGCGGUAAUACGGAGGAUGCGAGCGUUACCCGGAUUUAUUGGGUUAAAGGGGUGCGUAGGCGGAAUAGCAAGGCAGCGGUAAAAGUUCGGGGCUCAACCCCGUCGUGCCGUUGAAACUGAUGUUCUUGAGUGGGCGAGAAGUAUGCGGAAUGCGUGGUGUAGCGGUGAAAUGCGUAGAUAUCACGAAGAACUCCGAUGGCGAAGGCAGCUUACCGGCGCCCAACUGACGCUGAGGCACGAAAGCGUGGGUAUCGAACAGGAUUAGAUACCCGUGUAGUC
rnacentral:rRNA from 1 species